UCGCUCACCAGCGCUCGGUCUCUCCUCGUGGUGCUGGCCUGCCCUCCGUGAGCCAGAGAAACAGGACUGGUUUGGGGGUCUCCCAUCCGAACAGCCACGGGAGACCACGGUUUCCAGUGCGACA
rnacentral:snoRNA from 8 species